GUGUGUGGGGUAGUGUGUGUGUGUGUGUGUGUGGGGUAGUGUGUGUGUGGGGUAGUGUGUGGGGUAGUGUGUGUGUGUGUGUGUGUGUGGGGUAGUGUGUGUGGGGUAGUGUGUGUGUGUGUGUGGGGUUGUGUGUGUGUGUGUGUGGGGUAGUGUGUGUGUGUGUGUGGGGUAGUGUGUGUGUGGGGUAGUGUGUGUGUGUGUGUGUGUGGGGUAGUGUGUGUGGGGUAGUGUGUGUGUGUGUGUGUGUGUGUGUGUGGGGUAGUGUGUGUGUGUGGGGUAGUGUGUGGGGUAGUGUGUGUGGUUGUGUGUGUGUGGGGUUGUGUGUGUGUGUGUGGGGUAGUGUGUGUGUGUGUGUGUGUGUGUGUGUGUGUGGGGUAGUGUGUGUGGGGUUGUGUGUGUGUGUGUGUGUGGGGUAGUGUGUGUGUGUGUGUGUGUGUGUGGGGUUGUGUGUGUGUGUGUGUGUGUGUGUGUGUGUGGGGUAGUGUGUGUGUGUGGGGUAGUGUGUGGGGUAGUGUGUGUGGUUGUGUGUGUGUGGGGUUGUGUGUGUGUGUGUGGGGUAGUGUGUGUGUGUGUGUGUGUGUGUGUGUGUGUGGGGUAGUGUGUGUGGGGUUGUGUGUGUGUGUGUGUGUGGGGUAGUGUGUGUGUGUGUGUGUGUGUGUGGGGUUGUGUGUGUGUGUGUGUGUGUGUGUGUGUGUGGGGUUGUGUGUGUGUGUGUGUGUGUGUGUGUGUGUGUGUGUGUGUGAGGUAGUGUGUGUGUGUGUGGGGUAGUGUGUGUGAGGUAGUGUGUGUGUGUGUGUGAGGUUGUGUGUGUGUGUGAGGUAGUGUGUGUGAGGUAGUGUGUGUGUGUGUGUGUGUGUGUGUGUGUGAGGUAGUGUGUGUGUGUGUGUGGGGUAGUGUGUGUGAGGUAGUGUGUGUGUGUGUGUGUGUGAGGUAGUGUGUGUGUGUGUGUGUGUGUGUGUGGGGUAGUGUGUGUGUGUGUGUGUGUGGGGUAGUGUGUGUGUGUGUGUGUGUGUGUGUGUGUGUGUGUGUGUGUGUGUGAGGUAGUGUGUGUGUGUGUGGGGUAGUGUGUGUGUGGUAGUGUGUGAGAAUUUCAGUAAAAUAUACACCAAGGGUUGGCCAGCUGGAAUUGCAUCUUGGGCUCUGGAAUGCAAACAUGCUUGUGUGUGUGUGUGGGAGAGAGAGGGUGAGUUUGCUUGUCUGAAGGGGUGUGUGGUUGGUGGAAAAUAUGUAACUAUGUCCGAGAAUGUGGUAGUAGAAAUGAAUUUUGUCAGGUAAAAAUAUUGAGCAAGAUAAAAGCUUUGGGGUUCCAUGCCUCUUCUCUAAGAGCCAUAGUUAAUGUCUAAGAGG